rnacentral:misc_RNA from 1 species
GACGAACCGUCCAAACGUUAUUCGGAAUUACUGGGCUUAAAGGGUGCGUAGGCGGUGCAGUAAGUUGGGUGUGAAAUCCCUCGGCUCAACCGAGGAACUGCGCCCAAUACUGCUGUGCUGGAGGGAGACAGGGGUAAGCGGAACUGAUGGUGGAGCGGUGAAAUGCGUUGAUAUCAUCAGGAACACCGGUGGCGAAAGCGGCUUACUGGGGCUUCACUGACGCUGAGGCACGAAAGCUAGGGGAGCAAACGGG